rnacentral:rRNA from 1 species
UUCAUUUGCCUCUAUCAUAUCACCCUGUAGCCCAAGACUGGUUACUCACUGAAGCUAAGCAGGGCUGAGCGUGGUCAGUACCUGGAUUGGAGACCACUUUGGAAAAUUAGGUUGCUAUUGAAA